GCGACCGGCCAGGCUCCCAUGCGGGAGCAAGAAUGACGAAAAAACGUCAGCGGAACAGAGAGACGAAAGGCAGGCAGGCAGGCAGGAAGAGAGGCUGCAGGAUUUCGCGUACGAAAGAGCAGGAGGAGCAGGAAAAGCAAGGGCCCGAGCGCACACAAUGCACGCUCCGCAGAAUAAACCAACUCUCUCGUCGCGAGAGCAGAAGUGGGCCUGCGAGUAACCUCGAAAGGGUGCCCCUCGAAAUCUCAGGUGGGGCGAACGAACCGUACUGGGAGCUGAGAGAACCGGCUGGAAUUUCGGAAGAAGAUAGUUGAGGCGAUAUAAAGGCGAAGAAGAGACGAGGCGAACGGCAAGGUUAAGCCGUUGUAAGC
rnacentral:misc_RNA from 1 species